CACACGUGCACCUUCUUGGUACUACUCGAGCCAUGCAGGGUGUGACGUUAAUUCAAAAUGAAUUAUUUUGUUGAUGAUGGUGUGCAUGAUCAUCAAAGCGUCGUCUGAGGUGUAGCGCACUCAAGAACCGGCCUCGCCCUUUUCGCCAGGAUUCCCUGCCGCACGACAUUUGUCAAAGCUGACUACAAGAAAACAACAACGUCUGAAGCCUCAUGAAAGAAACUGUGAGUAUAGCGUGGUGGAGGGGUGACGUAUGUUGGCCAACCCGGAAGUGAGCGUCGCCCUGGUUUCCCUUGACAAAAAGCCAACGGGUUUUUCCAUUGGAUUUUGGAUUAUUGCAGAAAAAUUAGCAUCUUUGAAGCACCUCCUCAAAAACUGAAAAUAUAUAAAUAAAUAAAAAUAUCUGUGCUCCAAAGAACGAAAUGUAAACCAAUGCAUUCUGAAUGGGAGUGUUUCUCUGAUUUUUCCAUGCUACACAGAACGAAAUGUAAACCCAUGCAAAUAAAGACUUCAUGUUCAUAAUAAUUUAAAUAUCAUU
ensembl:lncRNA